rnacentral:misc_RNA from 1 species
AACUUGAAUAUUUCUAGGCCGUUCAAGAAUGCAUCAUCAUAUGUAUGUUUGAAAUCAAAAUUGGGAUGUAGAGCAAGCCACGAUUGUUGCUUGCUAUGGCUGCCUUUUGGGAUCCACAUGGCUUUGUCUUUGAACACUGGAACACUGUUACCGCUGUACCAGGGAUUAUAUCUGCGAGUUCCUCGACUUUUUGAUUGUUGAUGAAUAUGAAAAACACAGGGGCCUGAUGACUCGCUGGUGUUGAAG